AAUAUUGCGCAAUGGGGGAAACCCUGACGCAGCAACGCCGCGUGUGGGAAGAAGGCCUUCGGGUCGUAAACCACUUUUGCACGGGACGAAAAAGGGAUAUCGAACAAAUAUCCCCGAUGACGGUACCGUGAGAAUAAGCCACGGCUAACUCUGUGCCAGCAGCCGCGGUAAGACAGAGGUGGCAAGCGUUGUUCGGAAUUACUGGGCGUAAAGAGUCUGUAGGUGGUUUGUCAAGUCUUUGGUGAAAGGCCGUAGCUUAACUAUGGGAAUGCCAAAGAGACUGGCAGGCUGGAGGCUGGGAGAGGGAAGCGGAAUUUCUGGUGUAGCGGUGAAAUGCGUAGAUAUCAGAAGGAAGGCCGGUGGCGAAGGCGGCUUCCUGGAACAGUCCUGACACUGAGAGACGAAAGCGUGGGGAGCAA
rnacentral:rRNA from 1 species